GGUCUUGCUCUGUUGCCUAGGCUGGAGCACAGUGGCGCAAUCUCGGCUCACUGCAGCCUCCUUCUUGUGGGUUCAAGCAGUUCUCCUGCCUCAGCCUCCUGAGUAGCUGGGAUUACAGGUGCUCGCCACCACUCCCAGCUAAUUUUUGUACUUUUAGUAGAGAUGGGGUUUCACCACGUUGACCAGGCUGGUCUCAAACUCCUGACAUCAGGUGAUCCAUCUGCCUUGGCCUCCCAAAGUGCUGGGAUUGCAGGCAUGAGGCACGACACCCGGCCUUUUGCUCUUAUUUUCUUAUUAUUUUUCUUCUACUUGUUUUUAAAUAUUUUUCCCUUUUUUAACUUCUGUUUUGAUAUAGAGCAUUUACAUUAUCUUUUAUUUCUAGGAAUAAUUUAAAUUUUAUUAUAGUUUUUCUUUAACCCAUAAGCUAUUUAGCAGUAUAAGCUGAAAAUAUUUUACCCAAAAAUGCUUGGAACAAGAAGUGUUUCAGAUUUCAGACUUUUUUGGAAUGGAGGAUAUGUGUGUUUGUGUGUGUGUGUGUGUGUGUGUGUGCGUGCGCAUGUGUGUCUAUAUAUAUAUUUAGAGAGAGAGACAGAGAGAGAGAGAAAUUGUGGGGAUGAGACCCAAAUCUAUAUAUCAAAUUCAUUUAUGUUUCAUAUAUACCUUAUACACAUAGCCUGAAGGUAAUUUUAUGUAAUAUUUAAAUAAUUUUCUGCAUGAAACAAAGUUUGAGUACACUGAACCAUCAGGAAGCAAAGGUGUCACUAUCUCGGCUACCCAUGUGAACAAUCUGUGGUUGUUUUUGUCACCACCAUUUCUGACUCUGCAUUUAUAUGCUGCUGGCUCUUGAAAGUCAGCAGAUUUUGGAAAAGGCUCUUCUCUGCUAUUCCCUUAUCUACCUUAAGACUGGACCCACCAAAGAGAACAAAAUUACCUUCCCUCUCCUUCCUGAUAUUUCAUUAUCUAUCAUGGAAAAGAAGACUAAAGAAUGAAACCACAUCUGGAUGAAGUUUUUCACAAGAUAAUGUCUGCCUCUUGGGAUCAUUUAAAUUCCAUAACCAUAUAAUUUUGAUCUCCAAGUUCAUUCAUUCUCCCUCAUAAUCAUCUACCACCCCCUCAAAAGGAUUGUCUAAAUUUUCCAUCUCCUCCACCAUGAAUAAGGGUAUAUAUGCAUCUGUAGUCCAUUGAGUUAAUAGGUAAUCUUGUAAUUCCCCCAUGCUGUGCAGAUUAAAUAAAUCUGUAUGCCUCUUCUCUAAUUAAUUUGUCUAUUGUCAGUUCAUUUUCAGGGACUCUUCAGAGGGCAGAGGGAAUCUUUCCCUUGGCCCAUACACUGCCAUUAUAAGGGGACACUUUUUUUGUAGAUAUAGAUUCAUACAUUUUAUGAUGUGUUUCUGCGUUUGGUGGAUAUGUUGAAUUUCUACGCAUUCGGCCAGAUCAUGACUGUGAUGUUUAAAGAAUACUGCUCAAAAUAUCAGGACACUGACAUUAAAAUUCUGACCUUCGCUUUUACUAGUUUCUCAAUCUUUGUUUAAGCAAAUUAAUUAUUUAUUUAUAUUUUCAUUUCCCA
rnacentral:lncRNA from 1 species